CAGCUCUCCGAGUGGUAGGGAUGAUUAUUGGGCUUAAAGCGUCCGUAGCCUGCUUAGCAAGUCUCCUGUUAAAUUCAGCGACCUAAUCGUUGAGCCGCGGGAGAUACUACUAGGCUAGGAGGCGGGAGAGGUCGACGGUACUUCUGGGGUAGGGGUGAAAUCCUAUAAUCCCAGGAGGACCACCAGUGGCGAAGGCUGUCGACUAGAACGCGCUCGACGGUGAGGGAUGAAAGCUGGGGGAGCGAACCGGAUUAGAUACCCGAGUAGUCC
rnacentral:rRNA from 1 species